UACGGAGGGUGCGAGCGUUGUCCGGAAUCAUUGGGCGUAAAGGGCGCGUAGGUGGCGCGGUAAGCGUGCGGUGAAAGCCUGGGGCUCAACCCCGGGUCGGCCGUGCGAACUGCUGGGCUUGAGCACUGUAGAGGCAGGCGGAAUUCCGGGUGUAGCGGUGGAAUGCGUAGAGAUCCGGAAGAACACCGGUGGCGAAGGCGGUCUGCUGGGCCAAGACUGACGCUGAGGCGCGACAGCGUGGGGAGCAAACAGG
rnacentral:rRNA from 1 species